rnacentral:tRNA from 1 species
GUGGCCGUAGCUCAACCGGUUAGAGCACCAGGUUGUGGUCCUGGGGGUUGGGGGUUCGAGUCCCCUCGGUCACCCCA